rnacentral:pre_miRNA from 1 species
CUCAUACUUCCUCCGUCCAACAAAAGAUGUCUCAAGUUUGUCAAAAUUUGGAUGUAUCUAGACAUGACUUAGUGUAUAGAUGCAUUCAAAUUUGGUCAAAGUUGAGACAUCUUUUGUUGAACGGAGGGAGUACAUA